GGUGCACGACCCAGGCUCGGCUUCGGUCUGGCGGGGAUUUUCCAGCCUGUGUGGCGCGGCGGCGGGAGCCCCUGACCGUGUGUCUCAGGGUCUGGGGCAGCGCUGAAGGGACAGCGACACUCGGGUGCCCGAGCGUGGCGCAAAAUUCCCGCCCGCGCGCAGAGCUGGGAGAAAUGGCUCUGUGCAUUGGUUUUCCUGGCUGACCCUGAGAAUAAGCAACUCUGUCCGCUUGUUGUCUGAAGUUGUUUGAAGAUGAUUAGAGGAGAAAUAACACCAAAGCCCUGAGCAAUGCUUUGCAGACGUCUAGGGGCUCAGGAUGUGUGAUGUAGCCCAGUUCUAUUUGUUGACAUCCAGCUUUUGAAAGCAUCAGCCUUUGAGAGUGGAACAAUAUUGGAGCUAUGGAGUCACCUUUACCUGGAAAUAUCGAAGGAAAAGUUUUUGAGGAUUGGAAGCUGGCAUGCGCUGCAUUCUCUGAAUUCAGAUCCAGAUCAGGAACCAGAACAAUGAACAGUGCCAGUCUUCCACCACAGCAAUGUGCUCAUCAGGAAAACAGAGGGCUCUCCCAGGCCCUGCUCUGUGGACUACGUCGUACAUGAUUCUGUUAUUAUUUACAAAUGAGAAUGCUUUAUUUACCCUGUACGACACCCAAAUUUAUUCUUUUAUCACCUGGUAUUAAAUGCGAACAAAAGUAGAAUUCUGUCCUCCGGAUUUGGGUUUGAGACCGAGUUUGCAUGAAAAUUAAAAGAUUCAA
rnacentral:lncRNA from 1 species